GCGUAAUCCGGUCCUGCUUCGCAGUUGCCGCGAGGGUUGGGACCCCUCCGCUUUGGCUGUGGGUAUAUAAGCCGGCGCGGGGCGAGCGGUGGUCACAGUAGCUUGAGGUUCCACCAUAGUCAGUUGUGUUCAUUCUCCGCGUUCUCCAGUUGCCUGGAAAAUUUUCUAAGUCAAUAAAAUUAAAGUUCAGUGUUCUUCAAAUUAAUUCAAAGUUCUUCUCAUUAAAUUCAACUGGCCGCGAAUUAAAUAAAUUUCGUGUUCCUGCAAUCAAAAUUGAGUGGUUAAUUUGGAAAAUACUACUGUUUCUAUUGGUCAUUAAAUUAAUCCAAAGUUAUCUCGAAGCAAAGUGGUUUACAAUAGUUUCUACUUUUGCUUCGUAACUAGACUUCAAUACCGAUAAAACUUCACGAUGGCAGCGGACACGGACAUCGUUGUACCUGAUAUUUUUUUAUUUUUGUAUUUUUGACGCAAGAGCCCGAUAUUAGUGGCGUGGAGGAGAAUGAGUAAGGCGAUUCAACAUCAACUCGCCUAGAUUAUACGAUAAUGUAAGAUUACACGUUUGAAAGUUCGAGCGGAUUCCUGUUGGUUCCGGUGUUCAACUCCUCUUAACAUGAAAACUGGCCGCUUGCUGACUGCUGAAGAAAUGAUCCUGGUAUGCAGUGCUGAACCACCACCGAGUCACCACAGCUAAAAUGUACAUGCGUAGGCCCAAAAUUCAAGGUAACCGUUGUCAUAAUUAUUAAUCCGCAUAAUAGACUAAGUAUAAUUUAAGUGUGCAUAACAUUUGCAGUUUCUAAUGAUAGAAUUUUCAGAAAUUCAUCAUUUUGUCUCCUACGUAAUUCUAGAUUUCAUAGAGUUUCCAUAAAAAUGUGUUUUAAUAUUUGGCUAGACAUGCGACUCGGUCUUUUUGGUAAUAUAUCUUUGGCGCUAUUUUCGGCAUUUUUAAUCCAAAAAUGUAAUUGUUCGUGAAAUGUAUUUUUGACUAUGAAGUCUAAUUUUAUAGUUGUUCAGUAUUCCAACUUUCCCAAGUGUUUUAUGCUCAUGCAAAUUAUGCGUAUUUUUAUAAGGAUUUAUAUUAUGCGGAUUUGUAAUCCAGACAAUCCGGUUCCACAUAGAAACUUAGAAAUAGAAUUCAAAAUUGUAUUGGCGACUCAGGAUACAUGUUAUGUAAAUUCGAUCCAUCAUUAUACCGUUUGCGCUACUGUUCAAUAUGGGAACCAAUCUGAAUAUCUCUAAUUUUUAAGCAGCUUCGCGGUUUUUUAUGCUUUGCGUUAUUUUCGGCUACGCGCUCUUUUUGUUUCGACGUCAGAUUAUUAAAAUCCAACCAUCAAUAAUUUUAGACCUGACAUGACUAAAAUGACUAAUGACUAUUCGAACAAAUUUUAUUAAAAAACGCAAAGUUCAAAAAAUAAUUUUACUUAUUAAUAUUUCUGGACACAUUGAAAUUUUCAAAGUAUUUUCAUCUUUAGGCUUGAAGGUAUGACAGUUUGGUUUAAAAUCAAAAAAAUACAAACAAAUAGAAUCAUAUUAGUUCUUAAAAAAAGUUACAAAAAGUACCACGUUAACAUAUUUGAAAGAGAUAAAUAUAUUAGAUUGGUAGGACUAACAUCACGGGUCACAAAGUCGCAUACCUAUCUGUUCUAUAAUAUUUUAAUAUUAUAAGUCGGGUAAAUGCAAUACUAAAUAUAAAAAUAGAUUUAUAACACAGUUUCCUUGCGUCUUAAUCAUAAAGAAAUUCCAUCAUGGCAUCAUGGUUUAUAAAUAUUAUGCUUUUUAUAGCUUAAUACUUAUAUAAUUAUUAUAUCGCGCAGAAAUCAAAUUAUCCUUCUUCAACAAAUAAUAUUCAUACAGGAAAAAUGAAAUAUGUCAUUCAUGUCCAUGAUUUAAUAACAUUCCCAUUAAUUAAUAGUUUCGUUCCAUGAAACAAAAAUAUUCCCAAAAAUUCAUAUUCGCUCCAUGAUACAAAAAUAUUACCAAAAAUUAAUAGGUGCGCACUAUGAUACAAAAAAAUCCCAAAAAAUUAUAGUUUUACUAAUAUGAAAAAAUCCAUAAAAUAAUAGUUUCAUUCCAUGAUACAAAAAGAUUCCCAAAAAAUAAUAGGUUUGCUCCAUAAUAUGGAAAGUAUCCUAAAAAUUAAUAGAUUUGCUCGAUAAUAUCGAAAGAUUCCCAUAAAUUAAUAGUUUCGUUCCAUGGUACAAAAAGAUUCCCAAAAAAUAAUAGUUUUGCUCCAUAAUAUAACAAGAUUCCCAUAAAUUAGUAGUUUCGCCCCAUUAUAUGAUAAAAUCCUAUAAAAUAAUAGUUUCGUUUCAUGAUACAAAAAAAACCCAAAAAAUUAUAGUUUCGGUCCAUGAUACAAAACUGUUCUCAAAAAUUAAUAGUUUCUCUUCAUGAUACAAAUCUUUUCCCAAAAAUUAAUAGUUUCGCUCCAUAUUACAAAAUUAUUCCCAAAAAUUUAUAGUUUCGCUCCAUGAUACAAAAAUAUUCCCUAAAAUUAAUAGUUUCGCUCCAUGAUACAACACUGUUUCCAAAAAUUAAUAGUUUCUCUCCCAGAUACAAAUCUUUUCUCAAAAAUUAAUAGUUUCGCUCCAUGAUACAAAACUGUUCCCAAAAAUUAAUAGUUUCUCUCCAUGAUACAAAACUAUACCCAAAAAUUAAUGGUUUCGUUCCAUCAUACAAAACUGUACCCAAAAUUAAUAGUUUCUCUCCAUGAUACAAAACUGUUCCCAAAAAUUUAUAGUUUCUCUCCAUGAUACAAAUCUUUUCCCAAAAAUUAAUAGUUUCGCUGCAUCAUACAAAGCUGUACCAAAAAUGUAUAGUUUCGUUCCAUCACACAAAACUGUAACCAAAAUUAAUAGUUUCGCUCCAUGAUACAAAACUAUUCCCAAAAAUUAAUAGUUUCGUUCCAUCAUACAAAACUGUAACCAAAAUUAGUAGUUUCGUUUCAUGAUACAAAAUAUUCCCAAAAAUUAAUAGUUUCUCUCUAUGAUACAAAACUAUUCCCAAAAAUUAAUAGUUUCUCUCCAUGAUACAAAUCUUUUCCCAAAAAUUAAUAGUGUCGCUCCAUGAUACAAAACUAUUCCCAAAAAUUUAUAGUUUCGCUCCAUGAUACAAAACUAUUCCCAAAAAUUAAUAGUUUCGCUCCAUCAUACAAAAGAUUCCCUAAAAUUAAUAGUUUCGUUCCAUCAUACAAAACUGUACCCAAAAUUAAUAGUUUCGCUCCAUGAUAUAAAAGAUUCCCAAAAAUUAAUAGUUUCGUUCCAUGAUACAAAACUGUAACCAAAAUUAAUAGUUUCGUUUCAUGAUACAAAAUAUUCCCAAAAAUUAAUAGUUUCUCUCUAUGAUACAAAACUAUUCCCAAAAAUUAAUAGUUUCUCUCUAUGAUACAAAUCUUUUCCCAAAAAUUAAUAGUGUCGCUCCAUGAUACAAAACUAUUCCCAAAAAUUUAUAGUUUCGCUCCAUGAUACAAAACUAUUCCCAAAAAUUAAUAGUUUCGCUCCAUCAUACAAAAGAUUCCCUAAAAUUAAUAGUUUCGUUCCAUCAUACAAAACUGUACCCAAAAUUAAUAGUUUCGCUCCAUGAUACAAAAGAUUCCCAAAAAUUAAUAGUUUCGUUCCAUCAUACAAAACUGUACCCAAAAUUAAUAGUUCCGUUCCAUGAUACAAAAUAUUCUCAAAAAUUAAUAGUUUUAUUCCAUGAUACAAAAUAUUCCCAAUAAUUAAUAGUUUCGCUCCAUGAUACAAAAUAUUCCCAAAAAUUAAUAGUUUCGCUCCAUGAUACAAAAUAUUCCCAAAAAUUAAUAGUUUCGUUCCAUCAUACAAAACUGUACCCAAAAUUAAUAGUUUCGUUCCAUGAUACAAAAUAUUCCCAAAAAUUAAUAGUUUCGCUCCAUGAUACAAAAUAUUCCCAAAAAUUAAUAGUUUCGCUCCAUGAUACAAAAUAUUCCCAAAAAUUUAUAGUUUCUCUCCAUGAUACAAAAUAUUCCCAAAAAUUAAUAGUUUCGUUCCAUCAUACAAAACUGUACCCAAAAUUAAUAGUUUCUCUUCAUGAUACAAAAUAUUCCCAAAAAUUAAUAGGUUCGCUCCAUGCUACAAAAUAUUCCUAAAAAUUAAUAGUUUCGCUCCAUGAUACAAAACUAUUCCCAAAAAUUUAUAGUUUCGUUCCAUGAUACAAAAUAUUUCCAAAAAUUAAUAGUUUCUCUCCAUGAUAGAAAAUAUUCCCAAAAAUUAAUAGUUUCGCUCCUGAUACAAAACUAUUCCCAAAAAUUAAUAGUUUCGCUCCAUGAUACAAAACUAUUCCCAAAAAUUAAUAGUUUCGCUCCAAGAUACAAAAGAUUCCCAAAAAAUUAUAGUUUCGCCCUAUAAUAUGAACAAAUCCCAUAAGAUAAUAGUUUCGCUCCAUGAUACAAAACUAUUCCCAAAAAUUCAUAGUUUCGCCCUAUAAUAUAAAAAGUCCCAUAAAAUUAAAGUUUCAUUCCAUGAUACUAAAAGAUUCCCAAAAAUUAAUAGGAUUGCCCCAUAAUAUUGAGCUUUUCUUAAUUUGCUUGCUCCAUGCACCUACCAUUGGUUCUUCAUUGCAUCACCUGAAGGUUUGGCUGGUAGAGAAUGCCUACGGCAUGAAGCCCACCUCAUAUAUACACUCAUGUGCAUGAAGAAUUAAUUAAAUAAAUAAAUAAAUAUGAAAAAAAUCCCAUAAAUUAAUAGUUUGGCUUCAUACAAUGAAAAGAUUCCCAUAAAUUAAUAGAUUCGCUCCAUAUUGUGGAAAGAUUCCCAUAAAUUAAUACUUUCCGCUCCAUAUUGUGGAAAGAUUCCCAUAAAUUAAUAGUUUGGCUCCAUAAAAUUGAAAAGAUUCCAAACAAUUAAUAUUUUUGCUUCAUAAUAUGCAAGACUAGUCUUGCUUCAAUCUUAAGAUAUAAUCUUAUUUCACUACAUAUUUCCUUAAUGAAUCAUAUGGUGCUACAAUGCUUUUACCCAGUCAGGCCAAAUAACAACAACUUAAGAUCUGAUGUCACUUACGCUUUGCGUUUAUCACAUUAUUAUGUUUUUUGCCACUUUAUUAUUUUCGGGUGUUUAUACACAAUCACAAGGACCAAAUUAUAUUAUAAAUCAAAUAUUAUUCGUACCGAAAAUGUGAAAGGUAAAUUUGAAACAAAAUCGCCAAAAAACGUAUUGGAUGCUAGCUGACCCGGCAAAUUUCGUACCACCUCAAACAUUUUUUGCUCAACCUUUAGACCUGCCCUAGACUUCCACAAAUUAUUCAAGACCAAAAUUAACCAAAUAGGUCCAGCCGUUCUCGAGUUUUAGCGAGACUAAAGAACAGCAAUUGUUUUUUAUAUAUAAAGACUACAGUAAUAGCCUUUUCUAAUAUCCCCGUUUGAAAUUCGCCGCUGCAUAUAUUUUUAAAUGGGCAAAAUUUUCUUGAAUCAAUUUCGACAUUCAGUUUUGCAGCUACUGUGAUUGGUUGUGGAACGUAAUAUAGUAAUACGUUUGUGCGACGCUACUAGAUGCAGACUAAAUGAUGACUACUAGUACUUCAAUAGAAACAGUACACAUGGUCUUUUACCAGAACCAGAAGGACUUGAUCCGAUUGUAUCAGAAACUGGCAUAAAUAAAUUUCAUCCUGGGCACCGAAAAAUAGGACAAAGAAUCCCCAUAUCUUUUACAUGAACUUAAUUUUUAUGUAUACAUAUUCCAUUUGUAAUAACUUUUCUGGGUCUGGUAAAUGUUUAUGUGUAUUGUUUCAAUUAAUGGCGCUUUCCGUGAACUAAACACUCUGAAAAAGUGAUUUUGAACUUUAUGUAAAAAAUGCUAUCUAUCAACAGCGCUUUCUUUGAACCGAGAUAUCUACGAACAAUAUAUUCUACCAAUAAAGUUUUCAGCAAGACGUGCUUUCUCAGCAUAAAGAUUUCUGUUAACUAUGUUCUCUACAGCUGGCAGUGUCGUACAGACGUAUUUCUACAUUAAGUUUUGAACUCACUGUAAUUAGAUAAACAGGACCUAACUUUAUAUUGGCGCCAUCUGGUGAACUCAAAAACAAUAGGCAUAAACGCAAUCCGGCCGUCGGCGUAGGUCAAAAAAUAGACAAGAUCCGAAUUCCAAUUGGGUAGUUUCUUAGGUCAAAAAUAAAUUAUUUUGCCUUUUCAAUCCAAUACAAUCGUAGCUCGAGCGUAUAUCCCGAAAUAAUCGAAAUAAAAUGUAUUCAUUUGACGAUAUAUAUAUUUUCAGAAUUUAUAGUAAACUUUAGAGGAAUAUGUAUGCUAUUUGACAUAAAAAAAAUAAUGACAUUGUAAGCGAUCUCCUACAAAAUUCAUAGAAAUGAAACAUUUCAGUAUUGAAUUUGACUAGAUGGAAACUACCGCAUUCAAACAUUUUCCUAUCUCUAUUAUUAGAACUUAUGACGGGAUAUUUACCAUGUUUAUUAAUUUUCAUGAGUUUCCGAUAUUUCGGCACUGUUGCAAGCGCCAUGAUCACGGAUUAACUGGAGUAAAUGCGGAUGGGUGUUUACAAGCAGACAAAUCGUACUCCAGUCAAUCCGUGAUCAUGGCGCUUGCAACAGUGCCGAAAUAUCGGAAACUCAUGAAAAUUAAUAAACAUGGUAAAUAUCCCGUCAUAAGUUCUAAUAAUAGUGUUAGUGACCAUGUCAGUUUAAAAACUUAUAUUUUCCUAUCGAUUGUGUAAUACCCAUUUAAUUUCAAACAAAAUUAUUUUAUGGUGCUAUUUAAGUAUUAUAUUGUAUUAUAUAUAUCAUUUUGGGUAAUUUUUAUUAUUUUCGCUUUUUCUGCUUCAAUAUUCGUACAAAAUAAUUAAAAAAGAUAAUAGUUCGGCACCGAAACCAAAUUUGAAUUGGCUCGAUUUUUAAAACACUCAAAAUAACAAAAAGCAUAUUAAAGAAAGACUUCAAAACUCCAAGUUUAAUUAAAAUUCAAAAACACAUUUUGUUCUCUCGAAACUAUAGAAAGUUUUGUAUCGUUCAAUUUUCAUAUCUAGUAGGUACUUUAUUUAAUUUUAAAAGUUCUCUCAUGGCAUCCCUUGUGCCUUAGCAAUCCAAUAUUAGCUUUCAUCAUUUUUUUUAUUUGUACAGCUAUUUUAUCGCUUUUACGCUAUUGUAACUAACCGCCGUGCUCAAAGAUGUUUAAUUUUGCUUAACCCAGUCUUUAGUCAUGUUUUAGGGUAGAGUAGCGUUACUAAGGAAUAGUUUAAGUAAUCAUUAAAUAUCUCUGAGUACGGCUGUUAGGUUACGGUUAGGUUAACAUAGUUUGUAACAAUAAAUUCCCUUUUUUAUGAAUUUUGGAAAUCCUUUCACCAGAAAGUACGCGACCAUUGUGACAAAAUUAAAUUCUUUCGGUAAUACGUAGGAAACUAAGGUAGAUAUAGGUACAUAAGCUUAAUUUGAACAACAUCUACACAACACACUUUUUCCACCAUUCCGCCUAUUAAUACAACCUAUCCAUCAAAUAUUACAAAUACCCGUAAUAGUACGAAUGAGAACAACAGAUUGACAUCGCUGAUUGUUUGCAUUUGCAAACGUAUAAUAAUACUUAACAAUAGUUCCGCGGGCCCAAGCAAUAACAGGUUUUAAGUCAACGCUUUGUACAAUAAUAAUAUUUCGCUAACAUCAUAACUUUCAACGUGGUACGAACAGGGAAUAACCUAGGUAUACAUAGGAUAAGUGUGUUUAUUGAUAUUUAGUUUAAAUAGUUGGGCAGUUUCGAUGCAAAAAAUCCAAUUUUCAAUUUUUGAACUUCAAAAAAUUUUUUACAUAUUGGCCCACUGAACAACAGCAGAGAUACCAACAUUGUCUUCGUUAGUUUUUUUAGCAAAUUUUCUAAAGAUAUUUAUUUACAUUUUCCAACAAAGAGUAAAAGAGACAGUCUAUAGUUUCAGGUAGUGCAGCUGAAAUGCUUUACUCUUCUUCAUUAAUGCUAUAAUUCGUCAAGGUAUCAUACAUUUUUAGAGGAAAUAUUAUGAUAUAUUGACAAAAUAUUUCAAGAAUGAGGACUUUACAAUAGACUUUUUCUUGUGCUCUAUUUGCGCAUAAGUUAUUAAGAUAAGGUAAAUUAUGUAACUGUCAUUUCAUAACAUCACUUUCCGUCCUAUAUCAGAAUCAGGGGGGAAAGUCAGGAGCAGUACGCGGUAUUUCAGGGAUCGGACUCGAAAGAUACAUUGUAUCCUUCCAUUUACUUUCGUAUUAAUAAGAAUACGUGCAACACUUAACAUAUGUAUAGUAAUAAUAAGUUUAUGUUAGAUAUAAGAUCAGUAAUAGCAGUCACAAUAAUCUAUCCCUUGGAUGGUUUAGCUACUAGGAAUAGAAUUUAUUUAACUACGCUGUUCUAUUUCUAGUAUCUAAGCUAAAUAGGUUAUUGAGAGUGCUCGUAAGUCAUAGUAUCAUCAACCGACAGUCGCCCAUUCGUAAUCGCUACACUUUGAUAUUAUGUAGUAUUUUGUUUAAGUCAACACUGGCAGUGGAGAUAGUUUAGUAAUAUUUUUAUAUGUACAUAUUACCAAGUUCGAGGUAGCUUGGCGUGUUUACAGUCAAUAUACCUAGUAUACAAGGCACUUAUAAUGUACGCAACACACGAGGUUACAUUAUGUACUUAGGAUAGUGUUCCGGCUCUAAACAGGAAAAGGAACGGGGUGGUUUUUAGUCAGACAGUCUGACCUUUCCACCUUCAAUAAAAUAGGACAACCUUUUAUAUCGACACCUAGUAUCAUAAACACUUAAGACUACGACAGCUUGUUAUACCCAUAUUGCAUGUAAUUUUUUUGUAAAUUGUUAGGAUUGUGCGUGUAUUGUAACAGUUAAUACCUGGCAUCAGCUCUAUUAUAUUUGUAAAUACAAUAUAUUCAUGUGUUAGAUGUAAGAUAGUUAAGGCUUCAAUGACGUUUCUAUUUGAAUCAAUGUAAUAAUUGUGUCAGAUAUAAGUUUAUCGAGGCAUAAACGCCGAGAGACAAAAAGUACAUUUUCAAUAUUUUUUAACGUAUGUAACAGAAAACAUAAAAAUGUAAUAAAAAAAAAUAAAAAAUAUAAAACUAAUAAAAAAAUAAAAAUUUAAAAACGAAUAAAAAAAAUAAAAAAGUAAAAAUGAACAAAAAAAUUAACAGAAAUAAAAAAUGAAAAAAAAUUGAAAAAGUAAAAAUUAAUAAAAAAAAUUAAAAAGUAUAAAAAUAAACAAAAAAAAUUAAAAAUAAAAAACAAAAAAAAAAUUAAAAAUAUAAAAACUAAAAAAAAAAUUAAAAAUAUAAAACAAAAAAAAAAUUAAAAAUAUAAAACAAAAAAAAAUUAAAAAUGUAAAACUAAAAAAAAAAUUAAAAAUGUAAAAAUAAAUAAAAAAUUAAAAAGAUAUAAAAAUAACUAAAAAAAAAAUUAAAAAAUAUAAAAAUGAAAAAAAUAUUAGGAUAAGAGGCAAACAAUCUAAUAAUCUUUCAUCACAUUAUAAUUAAUAACAUGUGUUAGAUGUAAGUUUUGUACUGGACUUUCUGGUACGAUGUCUUUCUUAUUGAUAAUUGUAUAAGGCACAUAAUAUCAAAUGUAAACAGGUGAGGAUACCAUUCUCUAAGUUAUUAGUAUAUAAGUGUGUGUUUUCAUAGUUUUACUUAGAAUUAACACUCAUAAUAUUGCGGGAUCUAAACAACUCUUCCACUUACAUACCAGCAGACCGACGUUGUAUAACAUUUCCAUCAUAUCUAUUCUCUUAGACUAAGUGUGUGUAAUCGUGUGACUUUUGACUUUUGUAGUGUUUUAGAUGUAAGGAUCGAUCGCAGUGGUCAUUGUAGAAACGAUAAUUUGGACUUCUUUGUCUACCACCAUAAAAUUGUUUGAAUGUUUGGCCAACUUGUAUUCUAUGUAUAUGGUAUCAAAACCCAUUUUCCAGUGUACUGACAGUAAUCUGACUCGACAAAAAUGACUUUAAGAGAUUAAAUUAGGCUCUAUCAAAAAUUAUGAUUAAUGUGAUAUCUUUCGAAACGAAGUAAAUUGUACACCGUCCAAAGAUCUAUGGAAAACAUGAUGCAAAGCAAAAAUGUGAACAUGUAUCUCUAAAAUUGGCUUUUGAUUGAAAAUCUUGUUUUAAAAUUGAUAUAAAAUAUUGGUUUUGAUCUUUUAUUUACUUUGAAAUUCUAUGCGAUCGUUUUAUUUUUCUGAUUGUGUGUGUAACGAUUUCAAUGACCAACGAGUGGUAGCAUUUUGGCAUUUUGGCAUUUAAUAAACGUUUGGCUUUCUAA